rnacentral:misc_RNA from 1 species
GGAAGUAAAAUCGUAACAAGGUUUCCGUAGGUGAACCUGCGGAAGGAUCAUUAUCGUACAAAAUGUGAGGGGCAUGCGAGGGCUGUCGCUGACCCAAAAGUCGUGCACGCCCGAGUGUGUCCUCUUGCAUAAUAAUCCAUCUCACCCUUUGUGCAUCACCGCGUGGGCACCCUUCGGGAUCAUCUCGGAGGGGGGCUCGCGUUUUCACACAAACCCCCCUUUUAAAAGUGUAGAAUGACCACAUCUAUGCAAUCAAUACAACUUUCAACAACGGAUCUCUUGGCUCUC